UCGUGAACGACAUCUUCGAGCGCAUCG
rnacentral:piRNA from 2 species